rnacentral:rRNA from 1 species
UGGGGAAUAUUGCACAAUGGCCGCAAGCCUGACGCAGCCAUGCCGCGGGUAUGAAAAAGGCCUUAGGGCUGUAAAGUAUUUUCAGCGGGGAGGAAGGCGAGAAGGCUAAUAACCUUGUCGAUUCACGUUACCUGCAGAAGAAGCACCGGCUAACUCCGUGCCAGCAGCCGCGGUAAUACGGAGGGUGCAAGCGUUAAUCGGAAUUACUGGGCGUAAAGCGCACGCAGGCGGUUUGUUAAGUCAGAUGUGAAAUCCCCGGGCUCAACCUGGGAACUGGAUCUGAUUCUGGUAAGCUGGAGUGGCGUAGAGGGGGGUCGAAAUCCUGGUGUUACGGGGCAAUGCGUCGAUCUCUGGGGAAAAACCCGUGGGGGAGGCGGCCCCCUGGGCGAAUACUGACGCUCAGGUGCGAAAGCGUGGGGAGCAAACAGG